UAGGUCCCGAGCGUUGUCCGGAUUUAUUGGGCGUAAAGCGAGCGCAGGCGGCUCUAUAAGUCUGAAGUGAAAGGCUAUGGCUCAACCAUAGUAUGCUUUGGAAACUGUAGGGCUUGAGUGCAGAAGGGGAGAGUGGAAUUCCAUGUGUAGCGGUGAAAUGCGUAGAUAUAUGGAGGAACACCGGUGGCGAAAGCGGCUCUCUGGUCUGUGACUGACGCUGAGGCUCGAAAGCGUGGGUAGCGAA
rnacentral:rRNA from 1 species